CGCAGCACGGCUCGGGGAGCGCGGGGAGGCCCGGAGCGCGCGUGCGCGCGCCUGUUCCCCGCCCCCACUCGGCCGAGACGGCGGCACAAUGGCGGCGCCCUUGCCCCCGCUGCGUCCCGUCACCCACCUGCUUUUUGACCUGGACGGCCUCCUUCUGGAUACUGAACGGCUGUACUCAGUGGUGUUUGAGGCAGUCUGCGGUCGCUAUGGGAAGAAAUACAGCUGGGAUGUGAAGUCCCUCGUUAUGGGCAAGACGGCGUUGGAGGCGGCCCAGAUCAUCAUAGACACCCUGCAGCUCCCGACGUCCAAGGAGGAGCUCGUGGAAGCCAGCCAGGCGAAGCUGAAGGAGGUGUUCCCCAGCGCUGCGCUCAUGCCAGGUGUGGAGAAGCUGAUCCGCCACCUGCGGAAGCACGGUGUGCCCUGUGCCGUGGCCACCAGCUCAGGGACCGCAUCCUUCCAGAUGAAGACCGGCAGGCACGAGGACUUCUUCAGCUUGUUCCAUCACGUCGUCCUCGGCGAUGACCCCGAAGUGAGGAGCGGGAAGCCAGAGCCAGACAUCUUCCUGGCUUGCGCCCGGAGGUUCUCUCCCGCCCCUCCCGCGGAGAAGAAAGAACUUUAUACAAUAUUGCCCACUGAAGAUGGAAUUCAGCAUGAAGACCAUCUUGGGCUCCAUCAAAGAGAUCACUGAAAAGCCAAAGGGCCUCUAGGAUGUCACACCUCAUGAUGUACAGAGGGCCGCGGUGCACUCUACAGAAUUGGGCUUGAAAAAUAAAGAAGGCGGACAGAGUUUCCUCUCUUACUGGAAUCUUCUGGAAACCAUAGCCAUGGGAUAUUCCUGAAUGCCUCACAUCCUUUAAGCAAUGUUUAAUGGCCACCUGUUGCAUGAGGGCUCAUCAGGGGAAAGGACCAUUUCACGACAACCUAGUACCCUGGCCCUAAACUUCGGUGUCCAGGCUAGUGGGGCUGGGCCAUGUGGAGAAUUUGUUUUGCCAGGACAGGAGGUCUCGAGGGCCUGGAAUCCAAGAAUUUCCAGGAGGUCCUUCUCCAUAUUCCUGCCAAGUCCGUGGCCACCACACUGCAAAAUGGCAGAGCCCAGGUUCAUAUUCUCGAUACAGAUCCCAUACCUUUUUCAUUGUGCUGUCUCUCUUUGCCAUGGUGGGGCUUUUUAUGGCCUGGCAGGGUAAGGGCCUCAGUGUUCUAGCCCCAGGUGAUGGAGAGUCUACCUGCCUUUGGUUCCUCGAAUCACUGACCUGGGAGCCCCAUCACGUGGGGCCCCAAGCAGAGGCCCCAGGUAGCCACCUCUCGGAUGUCCUAGCUUAGGUGCUGCUGAGAGUUUGUCAGUACUUGUAUCUCCCCUCUGCCUUAAUGAUCAAUGUGUCCAAAGUCACAAACUCAAACCACAGCGCAUGGAAAUAAUGACUUAUCCUAUGACUGCCAUAAACGCACUCCAGUGUCUCAAAGGUACAAGAGAUGUGUGUCAACAUAGAAACAGUCUCUAUUCUGGGGAAGAAACUCCAUGAAUGUGUGUACUAUUGACUCUCAGUCAAAGAUGCCAUUUUCCUAUUUGCGGGGCAUUGAUGUUUUACACCAGGCCCUCUCUUCUUAGAUAAUUGCACUUGACACUUUGGCGUCUACAUUCUGAAGGCUUGAUGCUGAAGUUUCUACUGCCCUUCCACUAGGAGGACAGCCUGUGGUGCCCACAAUGAGAUCUGGUUCUUUCUCCUCAUUUGUGGAGUGACUUGGAGAGCAGGGAGCUGAUUUGCAGAAGGACCACUUGGUAGACAGGCUAUUCAAGAUUCUGACGACAUGUUGGUGGAUUCAUGCGUGGAUACUCGAGCAGCCACCAAAUCAUUUCUGAGCUCUGUCUCCUGAGAGGAAGUCACAUAAACCAGAAAAACCGUGUGGACCCGGCCGCAGCUGAUUCUGGUAUGAUUUGUGCACUUUUCUUUGGUAUGGAAUACAUCGACCAAAAGUUUAUUGACUUUUUCAUGCCACUGGAUCCAAGACACCCACAUCCUGGACUGAAGGAUUGGAUUUGAAUGAAACUCAUUUUCAUCGCAAGACAAAGGAGUUUUCCAAGCCAUAAGGAGAUGACAUCUGACUGCUCUGAGUUCUGUGAAGAGUGACGUGGAGACACACGGCAUGACGUGACUGUUAUGACAGCCCAACUCGUCCACCGGCACGGCUGGUGAAUGGGAGGCUGAAGAAUUCAGCUGCCCGGCGUCUCAGGACGCGAGGAUCCAUCGCAGUCCACGUGCGGGCGGCCUCUUCGGCGACGGUGGUUCCCGUUGGAGCGGUCCUCAGAGCUCAGUGGCCUCUGUUGAUUCUGCUGAUACACCGCCCCUGCAACCCAACAGGGUGUCUGCAAGGCAACACGCAGCUUGUGAAAAGCAUCACCCGGCUUGUAUAACAUCUCCCCAAAGCUGUUUACGUCUUACGCUUCUUGAAGUUAAAAAAUAAAGAAAAUUAAAAGUGAAUGAAAGAGAUCAUUGCCAGACAUCUGAAGAUUGACAGAAACCAACUCUUUUAUUGCAAAAUAAUAGGAGAAAAAAAUAUUUGCUUAGGCCCUUGCUUUUGUGCCUGACACACAUUCGGAGAGUGGCAUCUGAGGUCAGUGUGUGCACUUCCCAGGCUGCCAAUCACA